GGAAUUGCUGAAGUUGUGAAGGUUGAUGCUGUGAAUGCGCUCGGUCAUCCCCUUGCAACUGAUGUCACCUGCAGCAUGUCAACGCAGACACAAAACAGGGCAUGGGUCAGAUCUAGCUGGUUGCAUUCCUAACACCUAGGUUUCAGAGUAAAAAUACAGAGUCAGCUUGUGAUGGCAUUCCCUCAAAACAUGGAAGGAAUUGCAGUAAUGAAAGUCAUCAUGUAUUCUAAGAGACUGUUCUGCGAGAGCACAACACAGACGGGGCUAAAGCAGGGUGAGAAGCAAAAGUGCUCAGGAGUUAAGAGAAGCAGACGUCCGAAAUUAUCUCCAUGCAUUACCAAAAACCGUGGGCACCACGGCACGGGGAAAACUUACCAGGUACAAUGAGCCAGUGACUGUUACUGAAUUUCUUAAGAUUACACUUUUCCCAACUACUGCAGACUGCUUCAGAAUAGAAGAAGACAACUCUCAUGCCAUCAAGCCGACGGACUUUCAAAAAAAUAAAAGAUGCAUUUCUUUACUUGUAAGUAUUUGUCUUU
rnacentral:lncRNA from 1 species